GACCGCUCGGCUAUCUCCGCCGCUAUUCGGCAACCGUCGUCGAGCUGCCGCUGUCGCAGUUGCCCACGUCGCUGCUAGUGCCACUGCCGCCGCAGGCGCCAUCAGGCGCUAUUGCUAACAACGCUACCGUCGCUGUAUUGCGCCAUAUUUGUUAUUGUUUUGCAGGUUAUCGGACGUUAUAACGAAGCGGUUCCGUGCUUCUCGCGUGUCUUUAAUCCGAAUUGCGUGCAUACGGUCUCGAGUGUGCCGAUAUGAUUGCGGACGAGUAUUCUGAUACACAGUGUCGUACGUAAAAGUGAUCGGUCUCGUUCUUGAAACGCCGGUAUCUUGGGUGCUUGUCGCGUAACGCGCGCGUGUUCGCUGGAAUGGCAUAUUUCAUCUGCGCAGUAGAAUAUCGCGAAUGUCAAGUGAACCGCUGCUUGUCGUGCGAUCGUGUUGAAUACAAGAUUUGCAAUCGCAAGUGAAUUUGUCUCGUUUCUAUCUACGCGUGCAUUUAUUCAAACGACUCUUGUCGCUGCCUCGGGUGACGUGACGGAUCGGCUGCUCGUUCUUUCUUGCAAUGCAAUGCCUGUUAAUACUCUCGCGUGUGUUUCGUCUUUUAUUUGCGUUCACAUAUGUAUGUUAUCCGCGUAAUAUUGAAAGUGCCGAUCGGGCGGUCGUGUGUGAAGUUAAUGUGUAUACGAGAACAACAGAUCGAGAUUUCAGCAGACUUUCAGGCAAAAGUUGGCAUCUGUGGAGCAACUCAUGUCAUCACAUGUGACAAACCAGCAACUUAGAUGUUCUGAGAGGAGGAGGAGGCCUAGGAGAGGCAUCAGGUGGCAGCGGAGCAACCUUGGGUAUCAUCGCAGCUUCGUGCC